UUUUAAACAUGCGUAUAAACUGCAGUGCACGGGUGCUUGCUAUUUCUGUCAGUUUAAAUAGUAUUUUUUUACAUUGUGUAUAUUUAGACCUGAGAGCUAUGUGAGAGAUGCCCAACGGUGAUAAAGUGAUCUGCGUCUUUGACUAUGACGGCAGGACACCUUUCACCUUUCAUGUCCUCUGAGGUGUGACAGACCCCCUGAUAGUCGGCCUGCAUUGGCUGAGGCUGGCUGGGGCUGAAUGGGAGAACUUGAUUUUUAUUAUCAUGCUGGUGAUGAAACGUUGCACCAAGCCCGACAAUUAUUCUAACAUUGAUGGUAUGGAGUUCCAUUAUAAAAAUUUUGGCAAUGGGGGAGAACGAACCACUGUUAUCAAGCAGGAUCUGAUCAAUCAUGUAGGCGAGAGGGUGGUUGAUGUAUCUCAGUGCCCAAAAUGCAUAUGUUCAGGAAUGCAAAUACCUUACAUGCUUUGGAUGCAGAUAACACCCCAUUCCUGCAAUUAUUUCCUCACACUGUUUAAGGAGAGUCAGACCCGUAAGGAGAUAAACGGUGGUAAAAACACAAAAAUUACAAUUUAAGGAUCACCUCAACCAGCUGCAUAUACUGUAAAGUUGAUACUUUUACAUUCCAUCAUAAACAUUAUGGCCUCACCUACAGAUUCUUGCUACAAAGUGAUCAUGAUAUCAUCCAGCGAUGAGAGCGGGGAGUCUGAGGCAUCUCAUUCUCCAGCUCCACCUCCAUCACUGGUCUCUGAGCGGGCAGAGGGGCCGCCAAACGAAGGUCUGCAGAUUGCUCCUUGGGGAUGACCAAGAGACCCUGGACAUCCAAGUUCCAGUUAACAGGUUGGAGGGCACCAUGGAAGCUUUUUUCUAUGAUCUACGAGAGUGACGAGAUGGCAUGUAUGAAAUUGCUAAACUGGAAGAGGUGGUGAUUCAACACAAUUCUGUACUUAAACCGAUUGUGGAAGAUUUUCUGGCUCGUUGGGAGGCUGACAACUAAAACCAGCUCGCAAUGGGAAAUGCUAUUAGUAACGCCUUUCGUGAGUUCAUAUCCACUGUUGAUGCAUGCCUUGAUAAAAAAGUCUGCCCUGAAAACAAAUGAAUUUUGGGAUGUUUCGAGGGGUGAUUACACAUGUUGCUGAUUUCAUAGAUUGUUAUUUGACAUCACUGGAGUCGGUGAUUCUUAUCACUGCAGAAAAGCAUUACUUACCCAAGUGUUGGGAAGAGAAGAAACUCUGGAGUCUCACAUGUCCUUGUCUGUCUUAUAUUCCUGUCAAUGUAUUUGAUGGUAGUCACAGAUUUAUAUUUUAUGCCUUAAUUGUACAUGUCAAUGCCCGUAUCACUGAAAAACCCAAUGCAUUGAUCUUAUUGCUUGGAACGUCACUGAACAACUGUCACAGCUGUAAAGAAUAAAAAAAAAAAAAAAACUGUACACACUUUUGAAAAACUA